AGUGAACGCUGGCGGUAGGCCUAACACAUGCAAGUAGAACGGCAGCACAGUAAGAGCUUGCUCUUACGGGUGGCGAGUGGCGGACGGGUGAGGAAUACAUCGGAAUCUACUUUUUCGUGGGGGAUAACGUAGGGAAACUUACGCUAAUACCGCAUACGACCUACGGGUGAAAGCAGGGGAUCUUCGGACCUUGCGCGAUUGAAUGAGCCGAUGUCGGAUUAGCUAGUUGGCGGGGUAAAGGCCCACCAAGGCGACGAUCCGUAGCUGGUCUGAGAGGAUGAUCAGCCACACUGGAACUGAGACACGGUCCAGACUCCUACGGGAGGCAGCAGUGGGGAAUAUUGGACAAUGGGCGCAAGCCUUAUCCAGCCAUACCGCGUGGGUGAAGAAGGCCUUCGGGUUGUAAAGCCCUUUUGUUGGGAAAGAAAAGCAGCAGGUUAAUACCCCGCUGUUCUGACGGUACCCAAAGAAUAAGCACCGGCUAACUUCGUG
rnacentral:rRNA from 1 species